CUUACACAUGCAAGUCGAACGGCAGCACGGGAGCAAUCUGGUGGCGAGUGGCGAACGGGUGAGUAAUGUAUCGGAACGUACCUUUCAGUGGGGGAUAACGUAGCGAAAGUUACGCUAAUACCGCAUAUUCUGUGAGCAGGAAAGCAGGGGAUCGCAAGACCUUGCGCUGAUUGAGCGGCCGAUAUCAGAUUAGCUAGUUGGUGAGGUAAAGGCUCACCAAGGCGACGAUCUGUAGCGGGUCUGAGAGGAUGAUCCGCCACACUGGAACUGAGACACGGUCCAGACUCCUACGGGAGGCAGCAGUGGGGAAUUUUGGACAAUGGGGGCAACCCUGAUCCAGCCAUGCCGCGUGAGUGAAGAAGGCCUUCGGGUUGUAAAGCUCUUUCAGCCGGGAAGAAAUCACAUGGGUUAAUACCCUGUGUGGAUGACGGUACCGGAAUAAGAAGCACCGGCUAACUACGUGCCAGCAGCCGCGGUAAUACGUAGGGUGCGAGCGUUAAUCGGAAUUACUGGGCGUAAAGCGUGCGCAGGCGGUUUGUUAAGAUAGGCGUGAAAUCCCCGGGCUCAACCUGGGAACUGCGUUUAUGACUGGCAGGCUAGAGUAUGGCAAAGGGGGGUGGAAUUCCACGUGUAGCAGUGAAAUGCGUAGAGAUGUGGAGGAACACCGAUGGCGAAGGCAGCCCCCUGGGCCAAUACUGACGCUCAUGCACGAAAGCGUGGGUAGCAAACAGGAUUAGAUACCCUGGUAGUCCACGCCCUAAACGAUGUCAACUGGUUGUUGGGGGAGUGAAAUCCCUUAGUAACGAAGCUAACGCGUGAAG
rnacentral:rRNA from 1 species